rnacentral:rRNA from 1 species
AUGGCACAGGAUUAACGCUGGCGGCAUGCCUAAUACAUGCAAGUCGAAUGGUUAGCUUGCUAACCAUGGCGAACGGGUGAGUAACACGUAGGUAACCUGUCUUCAAGACGAGGAUAACCAUUGGAAACGAUGGAUAAUACUGGAUAGGACAAAUCCCCGCAUGAGGAGAUGUUUAAAGGAGCAAUCCACUUGAUGAGGGGCCUGCGGUGCAUUAGUUAGUUGGUGAGGUAACGGCCCACCAAGACGAUGAUGCAUAGCCGGACUGAGAGGUUGAACGGCCACAAUGGAACUGAGAACGGUCCAUACUCCUACGGGAGGCAGCAGUAGGGAAUUUUCGGCAAUGGGCGGAAGCCCUGACCGAGCAAUGCCGCGUGAAUGAAGAAGUAUUUCGGUGUGUAAAGUUCUUUUAUUUGGGAAGAAAAAACAAAUUGACGGUACCAAAUGAAUAAGCUCCGGCUAACUACGUGCCAGCCGCGGC